CAGGGCCUUCCUUGUGGGAAAGGACCCUCCAAAAAUUAGCGUAUGCUGCUUCAUGUGGCGAGCACACGGUAUUCUUUAGUAAAAGGCGAAAGAAUAGUUCGCUCUGUGCUCACCACGCAGCUGCGUGGCUCGAUAAGCUCCAGCCAGCAUCUAUAAAAGAUCACAGUGUCGAGUGCCUAAGAAAAGUAGCCGAUAUGGGACUAAACGCAGAACAGUUGCUUAUCUCCCGUAUUAACGACUCCUGCUUUCUGCUGCCAGAGGACGACUUGGGUCGCUUUGCAACUCCUCCGUCCAGUACUGUCCACCUGCUAAGGCACGAUAAAAUCUAUCUCUGCAGUACACUGGCCUUCCAUCAGCAGCCUUAGCUGCAGCAGCUGCUAGGUCGUCAUCAUCCUUCACUUCUACUGUUGUUCCUAAGAAGUCUCGGCUCUUCUUCAUAUCUGGAACAUAAGCCACAUAAGAUCCAUGAUUCAAGUGACAUAUUCCCCUUGGAUACAAACCUAACAAAUUAUAUCUACGUGAUAGAAUCUUUAUUAAGAUAGGAGGUUGUUUCAUGUUUCCUAUGUUAAUCAGUUACCUAUCUCCUACCCGAUGCUACAGAACCUUGUAUAGACCCACUUGCAGCAGAUGAAGAAAAAUGAUUCAGGUACAGCAAUCCUUAAUUUUGUUAAACCUGUUCAACCUCAUGGCAGAUGUCACCUGAGGGUCAAGCAGUCCUAGCAAUAUGGAAUGGAUGACAUUAGGGAUGAGUUAUGUUUGUCUGCAAUGUUGUGAGCAGUAGCUCCUUUAAAUAGUUUGUAUUGCAUUAAGAAAGUAUGUCUACAACUCUACAUAUUUUCAGACUGGUGUUCAGGCACUGCUGAUAUGAUCUUUUAAUGAUUUCUUCCUGUCAUCGUUGUACUAUAGGCUGUAGUUUUCUUUCCUGGUUGAUAAUAUUAACUAUUAAGUUGCUCUGU